AUGUGGUGACAAAAUCCCAUCUGUGAGGAAACCAGCAGGAAUCAAGACCAGGUGUACUGCACAUCCUUGUUUUGUCCAGGAGAAGCCCCAGUUAUUAACACAGCAGUGAGGCUGAAGUUUCACAUGUGGGAUUCCCUCCAUGGCAGAGGAAUUUUAGCUUGGAAUUCCUCUAGGAAGAUAAUUUGGCAGAAUGCACUACAACAAUUCCUAAUUUUAUUU
rnacentral:lncRNA from 1 species